CCUACGGGUGGCAGCAGUGGGGAAUAUUGGACAAUGGGGGGAACCCUGAUCCAGCCAUGCCGCGUGUGUGAAGAAGGCCCUCGGGUUGUAAAGCACUUUCAGUGAGGAAGAACGCCUGGUGGUUAAUACCCAUCAGGAAAGACAUCACUCACAGAAGAAGCACCGGCUAACUCCGUGCCAGCAGCCGCGGUAAUACGGAGGGUGCGAGCGUUAAUCGGAAUUACUGGGCGUAAAGCGCGCGUAGGUGGCUUGAUAAGCCGGUUGUGAAAGCCCCGGGCUCAACCUGGGAACGGCAUCCGGAACUGUCAAGCUAGAGUGCAGGAGAGGAAGGUAGAAUUCCCGGUGUAGCGGUGAAAUGCGUAGAGAUCGGGAGGAAUACCAGUGGCGAAGGCGGCCUUCUGGACUGACACUGACACUGAGGUGCGAAAGCGUGGGUAGCAAACAGGAUUAGAUACCCUAGUAGUC
rnacentral:rRNA from 1 species